rnacentral:rRNA from 1 species
ACCAUAUUUGAGCAGAGGUUCCUCAAGAGCAUGCGGGCCAUACAGGGGGCGGUUAUAGUGUCCUCCAGUAUUCAGAUCAUCCUUGGUUACAGCCAGCUCUGGGGUAUUUUCUCCAGGUACCACCACACACUGUCAAGUACUUGUUGUACUAGUCGCCAACCCGUGCAUUCGCACGGCCUAGUUACUAAAUACUUUUACAUGAUAAUCUAUAUACCAUAUAACUAUUUUCUGCGUAAAGUUAUAUUGGUCGUCCAUAUGAAAAGUUCUAAAGGAUUUGGAACUUGGGGAUUCAUAGGAGAAUUCAUUUCCACUAUUGAGUUAGUUGGGUGA